GAAAGGAGCUUGCUCCUUUGACGUUAGCGGCGGACGGGUGAGUAACACGUGGGCAACCUACCCUAUAGUUUGGGAAACUCCGGGAAACCGGGGCUAAUACCGAAUAAUCUCCUUUACUUCUGGUGAGAGAUGAAAGACGGUUUCGGCUGUCGCUAUAGGUGGGCCCGCGGCGCAUUAGCUAGUUGGUGAGGUAACGGCUCACCAAGGCGACGAUGCGUAGCCGACCUGAGAGGUGUCGGCCACACUGGGACUGAGACACGGCCCAGACUCCUACGGGAGGCAGC
rnacentral:rRNA from 1 species